GAUGAACGCUGGCGGCGUGCCUAAUACAUGCAAGUCGAGCGAACAGACGAGGAGCUUGCUCCUCUGACGUUAGCGGCGGACGGGUGAGUAACACGUGGAUAACCUACCUAUAAGACUGGGAUAACUUCGGGAAACCGGAGCUAAUACCGGAUAAUAUAUUGAACCGCAUGGUUCAAUAGUGAAAGACGGUUUUGCUGUCACUUAUAGAUGGAUCCGCGCCGCAUUAGCUAGUUGGUAAGGUAACGGCUUACCAAGGCAACGAUGCGUAGCCGACCUGAGAGGGUGAUCGGUCACACUGGAACUGAGACACGGUCCAGACUCCUACGGGAGGCAGCAGUAGGGAAUCUUCCGCAAAGGGCGAAAGCCUGACGGAGCAACGCCGCGUAAGUGAUGAAGGUCUUCGGAUCGUAAAACUCUGUUAUUAGGGAAGAACAAAUGUGUAAGUAACUAUGCACGUCUUGACGGUACCUAAUCAGAAAGCCACGGCUAACUACGUG
rnacentral:rRNA from 1 species